rnacentral:lncRNA from 1 species
UCCAUUUUCCAGCAAUGAGAAGUACUAUGGCAAAUUUGUGGCACCCCGUACGGGGAGUUCAAAUUAGAGAUUUGGGGGAAAAAAGGUACUUAUUUAAAUUUUUUCAUAUAAUGGAUCUUCCAUAAAUUGCAAAUGGGGGAGGACCCUUUGAAGGUCCCGCUUAUCUACUCACCUCUGUGGACCCACAUACAUGAUGUCCCAAUUGGUUUCGUAUCAGAAAAUCCAGCAAUUCAAAUGGGAAAUUUUAUUGGAGAGUUCCUGGAAUAUGAUGGUUCAUACCUGGGAAAAGAAAGUAGAAAUUUUAUGAGAAUACGCGUCAAAAUUGAUAUAUGGUACCCUUUAAAAAGGAAAAAACAGAUAAGGUGUUAUGGAAAGUGCUCAUAUGCUCAUUUUAAAUAUCAACGACUUUCACUUUUUUGCUUUUUUUGUGGUCGACUGGGCCAUAGCGAUUCCUUUUGUGAAACAAAGAUGGUGUUAGGAGCAGAAACCAAAGAGAUGGGAUGGGAUUUAUCAAUUAGGACACAGUCUCAUCGAGCUCAAAUGAUGACCAGUGUAUGGUUGCGAGAAGAAUGUGGGGACAAGGGAGAGGAAAUAAUAGGGAAAGUCAAACUAAGGAGGUUAACGUCAAGGAUCCAAUGGAUAAUAGGGGGAUUUGUGAAUUUCUUGAUCCAGUAUUGGGAAUUAAUUUGGUAGGAAGGGAAUAUCAUACAGGAAGUAAAUACAAGAAUGAAAGUGGUAAUUUGGAGAACAGCUCAAUGGAACAUGAUCUUGAAGAUGAUGUGAUCGUUAGAGAAGAGGGUAAAAAGAGAAACAGAAGGGACAUGGAAGAUGUCUUGGCCAAAGAGAAGACUAACGUUUUGGCGGAAAGGAGUAAGAGAACAGUGGAGGUUAAUCAUAAAUUAUCCGCGGCUGUCAAGUGGGCAGCUGACCGAUCACAAUGAAAAUUUUAAGUUGGAAUAUCCGUGGAUUGGGGAGUCCACGGACAAUUCAAAGGCUUCGUCAGUAUAUGCUGAAGCUAUACAAUCCCCAGAUAGUCUUCUUCAUGGAGACGAAAAUUAAUUGCAGUCAGAUGGAAAAAGUUAGAAGAAGCUGUGGGUUUUUAAACGAUAUUGAUGUUAGUUCAGAGGGAUCUAGAGGUGGGCUAUGUUUGGCUUGGCGAGCUGGGAUAAAUGUCCAGCUCCAAAGCUUUUCAAAAUGACAUAUUGAUGUGAUCAUUAAUGAUACAACAGAAGGGUACAAAUGUAGAUUUACAGGGUUUUAUGGGUCUCCAUAUCCACAAGAAAGAGUUGAGGCAUGGAAUCCUUUACGUCACUUAGGCAUGGUUAGGAAGCUACCAUGGAUGGUUUGUGGAGACUUCAAUGAAAUUCUGUAUAGUUUUGAGAAAAAAGGUGGUUUAUCGCGUGAGGAAGGACGAAUGGAAGCUUUUCGUAAGGUAUUGGAGGAGUGCAGCUUGUCUGAUAUGGGGUUUAAUGGAAACUGGUUUACGUGGGAAAGGGGGAAUUUGCCUGAAACUAAUAUUCAAAAGGGGUUGGAUAGGGGAGUGGCGAAUGAAGAAUGGUUACAAAUAUUCCUUGAAUUUCAGAUUCAGCAUCUCCCACAUACAUUUUCUAAUCAUUGCCCAUUAUUGGUUCAUACAAAAAAGGAAUGCAGAGAAAGGGUCCAUAAAGAAUUCAAGUUUAAAGCAUGGUGGGACUUGGAGGAUUCAUUCUUAGAAUAAGUUAAAAACAUCUGGGACAAUUCUGAGGGUGAGUUUUUAAGUAAGCUAAACAGUAUGAAAAGGGGGUUGGAGGGAUGGGCUAAAAAAAUACAUUACUCUAGGGAAGGAAGGAAAAAGUUGCUAUCCACAAAACUGGCCACAUUAUUAGAGGCGGAAAAAGAUAAAGAAAUUCUGGCAGAUCUGAUUGAUAUGAAAAUUCAACUGAACUUGGAGAUUGAAAAGGAUGAACGGUAUUGGGAACAAAGAGCGAGGGUUAACUGGUUAAAGCUUGGGGAGAAGAAUACAGCCUUCUUCCACAAACAAGCAACGCAGAAAAGAUAGAGGAACCUGACUCAAAAAAUGCAGAAUGAUCAUAGAAGGGAAAUAGAGGACUCAAAUGAAAUGAAGGCGAUAACCAGAAUUUAUUUUCAAAAGGUUUUUUCUGCGGGUAGAAGAGCAAAUUAUGAGCAUGUUUUGUCUGGAGUUACCCAAUGUAUAUCGGAGGAAGACAAUUUUAUGCUAAAAGAGAGAUACACAAAGGAGGAGAUUCAGCAGGCAUUAUCGUAAUUAGGGCCCACCAAAGAACCAGGGGAAGAUGGACUUCCAACAUUAUUCUACCAGAAAUGCUGGACGAUUAUUGGGGAUGAAGUGACUAACUUCUGUCUCGAUCAUCUAAAUGGAGGGAUGGAGAUUGGCCCAAUCAACAAAACAAAUAUCGUUUUAAUUCUAAAAAUUUCAAAUCCAGUGGAUAUUUCACACUUUAGGCCCAUUAGUUUGUGUAAUGUUAUAUAUAAAUUAAUGGCCAAAGUUAUUGCGAAUCGUCUUCGAAAAGUUUUAGAAAAAUGCAUUAAUCCUGCCCAAAGUGCUUUUGUGCCUGGGAGAUUAAUUUCGGAUAAUGUAUUGUUGGCAUAUGAGCUAUUCCAUACACAAACAGAAGAGGGUAGGGAAGAAAGGAUUUAUGGCGGUCAAGCUGGAUAUGAGCAAGGCGUAUGAUAGGGUAGAAUGAAACUUUGUGGAGGAGAUGUUGAAGAAAAUGGGCUUUGACUCAGAGUGGGUAGCUUUACUUUUAAGGUGUGUAAAUUCGGUUUCUUAUUCGGUGGUUCUUAAUGGUAAAAAUGGAGAAAUUUUCACCCCCUCUAGAGGAUUGCGACAAGGUGACCCAUUGAGUCCGUUUUUAUUCCUAUUUUGUGGAGAAGGCCUUUCUAGCCUCAUGAGGCUAGGAAUAUAGGAGAACAAAGUCAGAGGGGUCAAAGCAAGCAGAAGUGGACCACAGGUUUCACAUCUACUAUUUGCAGAUGAUUGUAUGCUGUUUGGGGAAGCAACAGAAAGGAGUUUAAGUUACUUGAAACAGAUUCUGCAUCAAUACGAAGCUUGUUCGGGUCAGAAGGUAAAUUAUUCGAAGUCUAUAAUUUUUUUCAGCAGCAACACACAGGAGGAAGAAAUACGAACAAUUAAUCGAGUUCUUAGGGUGCGAGGAUCAGAUGACAUGGAAAGAUAUCUAGGGCUCCCUAACUUGGUGGGAAGAAGGAAAAAAGCUGCGUUUCAGAUUUUAAAAGAUAGAUUCAGGCAACGAAUUGAUAAUUGGAGCAUCAAAUACCUCUCACAAGGAGGUAAGGAGAUUUUCAUCAAAGCUGUUUUACAAUCCAUUCCAACAUACGCAAUGUCUUGUUUUUUACUCCCUAUAUCUCUUUGUAAGGAAUUAGAAAGCAUUAUUGCAAAAUUUUGGUGGCAAAAAAAUAAGGGGAAAAAGGGGAUGCAUUGGUGUGCAUGGAAGGACAUUUGCUUAGUAAAAGAAUUAGGUGGUCUAGGUUUUAGAUGCUUAGAUAAGUUUAAUAUAGCAUUAUUAGCUAAACAAGGUUGGCGUCUUAUUAAUUAUCCGAGUUCUUUGUUAGCCCGAGUUUUAAAAGCUAAAUACUUACAUAGAAAGAACUUCUUGAAUGCAUCUUUAAGUAACUUACCUUCACUUACCUGGAGAAGCAUUUGGUCAACAAAAAAACUCCUGAUGGACGGAUUAUGCUAGAGGGUAGGUGUAGGGGACCAUAUCUCCGUAUGGAAUGAUUGCUGGGUUUCGGGAGCAACUGAAGAUAGAUUACAGAAUAACAGCAGAAGUGAAAGUAUCAGAGUAGUGGCCGACUUAAUUAAUGCAGAGAGUAGAACAUGGAAAAGAGACUUGAUUGUCAAUACCUUUAAUACGGAUAUCGCAAGGAAGAUUCUACGGAUUCCACUUUCAAAGACUGCCCAAGAAGACAUCCAAGUAUGGAGAGGGGAGGCUACUGGAGUCUUUUCAGUUAGAAGCGCUUAUAAACUAUUACAGGAGUCAACAUUAGAGCCUAAUGCUUAUUUACAGACUGAUACAAAAAAAUUUUACAAGAAAUUAUGGAAACUACAGUUGCCCUUAAAAAUUAAAAUUACAGUAUGGAGAAUAACGUGGAAUUACAUAUCCACUUUCUCUAAUCUAAAAUCGAGAAGAGGUUCGUUGUUUGAGAUGUAGCCAGGACGAAGAAGAUAGCAUCCACGUCUUCCAAAUGUGUCCUAUAGCAAAAGAAAUAUGGAGUCAUUUGAACUUUUCUUGGGUACUUAAUGACAAUCAUGGUGAUAUAUGGAGUUGGCUUAUCUGGGUAUUCAGCAAAGGGACAAAUGAACAGUGCAUGGGAUUUUGCUGCGGGCUAUGGGGAAUCUGGACAAGCAGAAAUAAGUUUAUAUAUGAAAGAAAAUAUAGUACCAGUUGGGAUAUAUCGAAGCAAAUUCAAAGUUAUAUUUUAGAACUAGAAGGUGUUAAAGAAAGGGUACUCACUUUGGCAACCAGUACAAGGCCUAGACAGAGGAUACGAAGGGCGAAUAAGGCCAUCUUUUUCGAUGCGGCGUUUGAUUCACAAAACCACAGAUCUGCGUCAGGUCUUAUUGUUAAAAAUGAGGCGGGCAGAAUCGUUGGAGCAAAAUCGAUCCUUCAUGACAAUGUUGCAUCUCCGUUUGCGGCGGAAGCAUAUGCAAGAUUUCAAGCAACAAGGUUAGGGAUCCAGUUGGAAUAUUAUACUUUGGAUAUAAUAGGAGAUUCAAAAACAGUGAUAAAAAAAUGUCAAAGUGGAAACCGAGACAGAUCAGAAAUAGGAGGAAUUAUCAGCGAUAUUCAAAGCUUCAAAGAUUUAUUCCACAAAGUCAGAUUUUACUUCAACUCAAGGUCUGAAAAUAUUGAAGCACACAGACUAGCAAAAAGAACACUUCAAACGGGAGUGGAACAGUACCUGGAGGGAGAGACCUUAAGAUCGAUUGGUGAAGACUCGGAGCCAAGCUGCUUGGGUAAUCUAGAGUAGAAAGGAAAGGGGAUAAGAUUUUGGCUUUUGGCAUCAAUAAAUGACGAUUGAAAUGAAAAGGAGGAUGUUGUUUGUAAAAGUAAUCUGAUAAGUAAAAGAUUUGAAAGGAUUUGCUUUUACUUUUCAGUUGUCUUGGGCAGAGGAAAAGGCAGAUGGAUUUAUGAAGACAACUGACCGAUCGACUGGAAUUUUGAAUUUGUUUAUUUUAUUAUUUUACUUAAGGUGGGCUAAAUUGAUGUAAGCCUGCUUUUGCUGGUUUUGUUUCUUAGGUUUUGUUUAUUGGGUUCGACCCAAGAGACGUUUUCGUUUUAAUUUUAGGGUGUUAAUCCAGUCGAUUUUUCAAAAAAAAAUUUAUUGAAGCACGAUUUUUAUGUGUGAUAUGACUAGAUCAAAAGUAUAAUUUGAUUUUGGUUGACUAUGUGACCCA